rnacentral:lncRNA from 1 species
UAGUUGUCCAGUGUUUGAUUUGUAAAACUGUUUCAGGUACAGGACAAACUGGAGGCAAGGGACAGGACAAAAACUCAUAUUUUUGUCCCUCACCAAACCACAGCACAACUUUUUGUCCCACGUACAAGUUGUCUAAAAUACCAAAAUAGCAUUUUGUCCCUCAAAAAUUGUAUAAAACAAAAAAUUACACAAUGCCAUAAAAAAUUUGUCC